AGUGAACGCUGGCGGUAGGCCUAACACAUGCAAGUCGAACGGCAGCACAGUAAGAGCUUGCUCUUACGGGUGGCGAGUGGCGGACGGGUGAGGAAUACAUCGGAAUCUACUUUUUCGUGGGGGAUAACGUAGGGAAACUUACGCUAAUACCGCAUACGACCUACGGGUGAAAGCAGGGGAUCUUCGGACCUUGCGCGAUUGAAUGAGCCGAUGUCGGAUUAGCUAGUUGGCGGGGUAAAGGCCCACCAAGGCGACGAUCCGUAGCUGGUCUGAGAGGAUGGUCCGCCACCCUGGAACUUGGACACGGUCCAGACUCCUACGGGAGGCCGCCGUUGGGAAUAUUUGACAAUUGGCGCAAGCCUGAUCCAACCAUACCGCGUUGGUGAAGAAGGCCUUCGGGUUGUAAAGCCCUUUUGUUGGGAAAGAAAAGCAGCAGGUUAAUACCCCGCUGUUCUGACGGUACCCAAAGAAUAAGCACCGGCUAACUUCGUG
rnacentral:rRNA from 1 species